rnacentral:rRNA from 1 species
UACGUAGGGGGCAAGCGUUGUCCGGAAUCAUUGGGCGUAAAGAGCGUGUAGGCGGCCCGGUAAGUCCGCUGUGAAAGUCCAGGGCUCAACCCGUGGGAUGCCGGUGGAAACUGUCGGGCUCGAGUCCGGAAGAGGCGAGUGGAAUUCCUGGUGUAGCGGUGAAAUGCGCAGAUAUCAGGAGGAACACCAGUAGCGAAGGCGGUACUCUGGGCCGGUGACUGACGCUGAGGAGCGAAAGCGUGGGGAGCGAACAGG